rnacentral:rRNA from 1 species
GACGAACGCUGGCGGCGUGCCUAAUACAUGCAAGUAGAACGCACAGUUUAUACCGUAGCUUGCUACACCAUAGACUGUGAGUUGCGAACGGGUGAGUAACGCGUAGGUAACCUGCCUGGUAGCGGGGGAUAACUAUUGGAAACGAUAGCUAAUACCGCAUAAUAUUAAUUAUUGCAUGAUAAUUAAUUGAAAGGUGCAAUUGCACCACUACCAGAUGGACCUGCGUUGUAUUAGCUAGUAGGUAAGGUAACGGCUCACCUAGGCGACGAUACAUAGCCGACCUGAGAGGGUGAUCGGCCACACUGGGACUGAGACACGGCCCAGACUCCUACGGGAGGCAGCAGUAGGGAAUCUUCGGCAAUGGACGAAAGUCUGACCGAGCAACGCCGCGUGAGUGAAGAAGGUUUUCGGAUCGUAAAGCUCUGUUGUAAGAGAAGAACGGGUGUGAGAGUGGAAAGUCACACUGUGAUUGG